UGGUGCAUGGGGUGACCACAGAGGAGUGCCAGGCGGCCCUGCAGAGCCACAGCUGGAGCGUGCAGAGGGCUGCCCAGUAUCUGAAGGUGGAGCAGCUCUUUGGUCUGGGUCUGCGGCCACGAGGCGAGUGCCACAACGUGCUGGAGAUGUUCGACUGGAACCUGGAGCAGGCCGGCUGCCACCUGCUGGGCUCCUGCGGCCCUGCCCACCACAAGCGUUGAGAUGCCUGAAGAGCCAGAGGAUCUGCCCUGAAGGAAUCACUUAAGCUUGUCCAUCUGAGGAGGGUGGGGAGACUCCCUGCCAGGCCUGGAAGACCUGCUGCACCCACGGCUCCCAGUGGCAGAGCGAGGCCACGGCAGCAGGAAGCUGGGACUCCCGCCCUGCCUGUCCCUCCCUCCCCCAGUGCUGUCCCUGCAGCUUCAGAAGCCCUUGGUGCCCCAGCCAAGGUGCAGGAGGGAGCCUCUUGAAGGCAGGCUGGGGUCGGCCUCAGCAGGCCCUACAGCUGACCUGCCUCUGGGCUUAAGUCCCUGGUGGAGCCUGUGGCUAAAGGGUGUGGCCAGGGCUUGCCGGCAGGAAAGCCGGACCUGACCUUGGGCAGGGAGGAUGUGUUGGCCAUACAGAGAGGUGGACCAGGGAGUGGACGGGGGCCCUUCACAGGACUAGGCCCUUUCCAGGGAGCCCUGUUGAACAGAAUGUGGCCUCACCAUGGACGUAUUAUGGGACUUGGCCGGUCUUAGGAUCUUGUGCCUGAAAAUAGCCUGAGGUGGCUCAGGUAGCAGAGCUAGGGUGCCAGAUCGUUCUCUGGCAGGGACCAGGGCCCAAGGGCCCAGGAUCGGAAGGAGACCAAGGGGGCAGCUGCCCUGGAGGGACACCAGUGCUUCCUCUCUGACCCAGCUCUUCCCCUGUGCUGUUCUGUGUUUUCCCACCAGCCUCUGUUGCCAAAGUUGCUGCCCCAGCUAUGAAUAUCUGCUUCUUCCAGAGAAAUAAAAUUAGUUUCUAUUUUAUGUUA